rnacentral:rRNA from 1 species
CCCUUAGAUGUUCUGGGCCGCACGCGCGCUACACUGAUGCAUUCAACGAGUCUAAAACCUGCUCUGAUAGGGGUGGGUAAUCUUUUGAAUGUGCAUCGUGAUUGGGAUAGAUGAUUGCAAUUUUUCAUCUUCAACGAGGAAUGCCUAGUAAACGCAAGUCAUCAGCUUGCAUUGAUUACGUCCCUGCCCUUUGUACACACCGCCCGUCGCUCCUACCGAUUGAAUGAUCCGAUGAAUAUCAUGGAUUGAGGAUGCAAGUAGGUUCGCCUAUCUUCAUCUUCGAGAAGUGAAGUAAAUCUUAUCAUUUAGAGGAAGGAGAAGCCGUAACA